UAAUGUUACAGUAACAGUAGAAGGACAGUGAUAAUUUGAGCGCCUAUGGUAGGCGAUCUGAAAGGGCUAGGGCUGCGUGGUAGAAGUUUCUAGGUGUGAGCUGGGGCUCUUUCAAAAUGCUAAUGGAAAGAUUUAUGAAGAAGUUUCCUGAGAAAGAGUUUUGUGGUUAGGGUGAGAUGGAGUUCAGUCUCCUGCCUCCUUCACAGCCUGGGCAGGAGAUGGGGAGCCCCCCUUUGCCUGUAAAAGUUGCUUCAGGUGCAGGAGGCUGGGCUCCCUGCCGCAGAGGCAAGAGCCGUGCAGCCCUUGCGCCUCCGGAAGCGUCUCUGUACAAGAAAGUCGUAAUUAUGUCUGAAGCUCUCUUAUGGCUCUGGUCAGAAGAAUACUGGAAAAGUAACUUGUCGGCACCCAGGAAGUAGGGUCUUGCACUCAGAACAAAGAAACCCAGAUCCUGGUGUGGUAUCAAGUCCCAGCAGAAGUCGUGUGAUAGAGAUCAUAUAAUCUUUCACAAAUGACUGCAAGAUUUUCAAGAAGAGAGAGAAGAAAGAAAAAAGCUUUAAUGAGCAGACAAGCAGUCAAAGUAUUAAAAGUAGCAGCUUGAAGAAUCUUGUGGGAAUUGUUCCUGAAGGUCAAAAUCAACUUCUAUCAGUCACUACAACCUAUGUACAACAUCCCACUGACAGCAUAUAUUCUGAAAUAACACAGAGAGAGGAUGAUUGACUACAUUGCUCAAUAGUGGACAUACUAAUGCAAAAACUGUAGAAGAUGGAGUUUCCUAAGUUUGGGAACAGGAAGGGAGAAGGAUGCUCAAUUUUACUUUCUGCUACCACCAUUACCACCUAUUCCCUUCUUUGCAUCCCUAAUCCUCACAACUUCCUCCUGCUUCCUACAGCUGCCACCACAGUUUGCUUUGUCACCUCCCAAUUUCCUCCAGAGAAGACUAUGGUGAGUGUGGACUAAGUGAUGUUAAUGUAAAAGAUUUGGUAGGACUAGUGAGCGAAGGUAUUAUUUGUUCAGAGAAAUGACUUGAUCUUUAUUUGGCAGGUGCAAUACAGUUGAAGUGUGACAGUUCAAAUCACUACUGCAAUGGUAAUUCACAAAGCCAAAUGAUGAAGCUGAUUACUUCUCUAGGUAUA